GACAGAUAGAGAAUCCACAUUAACAAAACCAGUAAGGAGAAGGGAGGCUCAGCAACUGACACUGAGGGACUUCAUAGAAUCAGUAGAUUUUACUUCAAAAACUUCUACUCCACGAAAUUGGAAAAUCUGAACGAAAUGGAACCUUUUCUAGAUAGAUACCACUUACCAAAGUUAAAUCAAGUUCAGGUAAACCAUUUGAACAGCCCCACAACCCUUGAAGAAGAAGUAGCAGUCAUUAAAAUCUCCCAACCAAAAAGGCACAGGGCCAGAUGGUUUUGUUAGAGAAUUCUACCAGAUUUUCUAAGGAAAGCUAAUUUCAAUACUCCUCAAAUUAUUCCAUAAAAUAAAAGCUGAAGGAACACUGCCAAACUCAUUCAGAGAGGGCACAGUGACCGUGAUGUCUAAACUACACUAAGCCGCCACAAAGAAAGAGAACGUCAGACCAAUUCCUCUCAUGAACGUUGAUACCAAAAUACUCAAUAAAGUCCUCACAGACUGAAUCCAGGAACAUAUCAAAAAAUCAUCAGGAUGAAGGAAGCUUCAUCCCAUGCAUGCAUCGAUGAUUCCUUAUAUGAAAAUUCAUCAACACAGCCCAUGAUAAAGACAAACUGAGAGUAAACAUAUCACGUGGUUAUCUCAUUAGAUGCUAAAAAGAGCUUUGAUAAAAACCCAACACCCCUUCAUGGUAAAAAUAUUAGAGAAAUCAGGGAUACAGGGCACAUAUGUAAACACAAUCAAAACAAUAUACAACAAGCCAAUAGCCAACAUCAAACUAAAGGGAGAGAAACUGUCAGAAACCACCCAGGGAGAGUGCAUCAGUAGGGGCCAAGGCUUGGAUUUUAGGUGGAGAAUGGAUUUGGCUUGACAGGCAGACACAAAUCUGAGAUAUGUGUUGUUGUAAAAAGUUUUAUUUUUUUGGCACAGACUUAUAUGGUCAAAACAGGAAUAUCAUACUUGGCGAUAUUUAUUACCCCAUCAGAUGUCUCUUGUACAAAGGAAACUGAGCAUACAGUCUAGGAGUUUUUAGUCGCAGAUAAUAGUGUAGAAGACUGUGGUUAUAAUGUCGGACUUGUGGGCAUCAGAUGUACAUUCAAUACUUACCUUUGUUUGGAUAAAGUUUAAACUUUAUGUUUAUGGCCCCUCAGGAUAAUUUGGAAACUUUUGUAACCAUUUCAUGGUUUUCUUCAUUUCCUAUGGUCUUCUAAAAAGAUUAGACCACCUUCUCUUAGACAAAGCAAUCGUUCUAUACACAGCCUAUUGAUUCUCAAGCCUCUCUUCUUGUGAGAGCGCCCACCACAGAGGUCAAGUCCUCCUAAGUCUUUCCCAGUAACCAAGCUCAAUAUACUUUGUCUUCUUACUGUUUACCACUACUCACCUUGUCAAAUCUAUGUCAUAAGUCCCCAUCCGUGGGAAUGGUGCAUCUGUAGGUUUAUAAUAAUAAGGAUCUCUAUAUCUAGGGGCCUGCCACCAUUGUCCACUAAUUUUAAUAAACAAGACUCCAUUCUCCAGUUUAGUCUCUAACCCUAAUUUUUGUAAUUACUUUUUGUUCAAUGAUAGUUCUUCUUUUUCUUUUAGUUAAUUCUUGAUAACUUUGCUCAACUCGCUGAACCUGUCUUUCCAAAAAAGUCACUACUAUUCUGAAUCAUGCUAAACAAAACUUUUCCCAAAAAGGGGGAAAAGACUUUUUGGAACAGUCAUGCUCUUAAUAGCUUUAAUUAACUUCUCUCCUAUUUAUUGAGAACUAAUGGGUGCAGCAGUUGAUGGUGUGAGAUGUUUCCGUCUCUGGACUUGUAGUUCCUGGAACAUCUAAAGAUACAUGACCAUCUUUCCACACUGCUAUAUUCUUAGAUUUAGAUAUUGUUGACAGGCUUAAAGUUGUUGAGAUCACCAAGGCCAGAACAUAGAAGGUACCUCCACUGAAAGCAUAGACCCAGGUCAUCAUCUUUUUGUAGGGAGACUCCAGGACCUCCAGGAGGCCGAGCCAUUCCAGGCACAGGCCUCUGUUCUGGACAGAAACGAAACACUAAGAACUUCAUGUCACAAGACUCCACUGGAGUGGGUGUGGCAAGAAAUUUAAACCAUUUCCAUUAAAAUCAGGGAGGAGACAAGGCUGCCCACUCUGUCCCUAUCUCUUCAAUGAUAUAAUAGAGCUUCUACACAGAACAAUAACACAACUAAAAGAGAUCAAGAGGACACACAUAAAAGGAAGAAGUCAAAGCAUUGCUAUUUGUGGAUGACCCCCAAAAUUUGUAGAACUCCUACAGCUGAUAACAACUUAAGGAAAGUGUCUAGAUUCAAAAUUAACAAAAAACAAACAAACAAACAAACAAAAACCCAAAAGACCAGAAGCCCUCAUGAGAAAUAGGCCAAUGAAGAAAUUAGAGAAAUGUCACACUUUAAAAUAACCAGGAAUAAUAUAAAAUAUCUUGGUGUAAUUCUAAGCAACCAAGUAAAAGAUCUGUAUGACAAGAACCUCAAGUCCCAGAAGAAAGAACUUGAACACGAUAUCUGAAGAUGCAGAGAUCUCCCAUGCUCAUGGAGAUAUAGGAUUCACAUAGUGAAACUGGCCAUCUUACCAAAAGCAAUCUACACAUUCCAUGCAAUCCCCAUCAAAAUUCCAACAAAAUUCUUAUAGAACCUGAAAGAGCAAUUCUCAACUUCAUUUGGAAAAACAAAAAACCCAGGAUAGUCAAAAGAAUCCUGAACAAUAAAAGAAUUUUGGGAGGAAUCACCAUCCCUGACCUCAAUCUGUGCUACUGGGUAAUAGAGAUAAAACCCCACAGGGUAUAAGAAUUAAAGAACCAGAAAUAAACCACACAUCUAUGGACAUUGGGUAUUGAUAAAAAAGCCAAAACCAUUCAAUGGAAAACAAUCAAAGCAUCUACAAAAAAUGGUGUUGGCUAACUGGAUGUCCACCUGUAGAUGAAUGAAAAUAGAUCCAUAUUUGUUAUCCUGCACACAACUAUAGUCCAAGGACCUCAAUAUAAAAUUGGAUGCACUAAGUCUCAUAGAAGAGAUAGUGGGAAAUACCCUUGAAAGCAUUGCUACAGGAGACAAGUUCCUGAAUGGAAUACCAAGGACUCAGAAUCCAAGAUCAACAAUUGAUAAAUGGGACUUCAUGAAACUGAAAAGCUUUGUAAGGCAAAGGACACUGUCAAUAGAACAAAUCGGUAGCCCACAGAUUAGGAAAGGAUCUUCAACACUCUUCAUCUGACAGAGGGCUAACGUCAAAAAUGGAGAAGUAACAUAAGAAGUUAGACUCCAGCAACCCAAGUAAUUGAACAAAAAAUGUGGUACAGAACUAAACCGACAGUUAUCAACAGAGGAAUCUCCAAUGGUCCAGGUGAGCCUGGGAUGCAGGCACCCGUGGUCUCCACGUCCGGAUACAGCUUGUAAGAUUGAUUUCUGUGUUUCUCCAACUGACUCAAGUGGACAAAGUACCAGGAUUUUCCUGCCUUAGGCAAUCUCCGUACCGCUCAUCCUUACUGUAUCCUUCUUGUCUAACGACGGUUCCAGUCAUCCUGGAUGUGAAGAUGAAUCAGCUGGUCAUCUCCUGCUUCUGUGUAAGCGCGCAUCCAGAGGCUCAGCGUUUCUGGUCCUGGGUGGUGGGAAGUGCUUCAGCAGAGCCAGGGCAGAGACUUCUGGGCAGAGUGGAUUUGUGUGUGAAAAUAGACUUCUGAGUCUCUUGGGCUGAAUGUUUGGAAUGUACUGAGGUCUUUUAGCCUAGGCCUUAGCCUGUACACUUCUCCUACCAGAGCCCUGAUCUACAGUGCAGACUCUUCUUGGUGCUUCAAGGUCCACACAGUACCAGUUGGUCUGCAGAUCUUUUUCCGGCUAAUGGCUUCAAUAUGUCCUCUGUCGUGGCAAAGUUUGGGUUUGGUUCUAGGAAUGAUAGAAAUUUUAUUGUCUUCUCUGAGCUUUCUUAGAGAUUUUAGUCCCUGCCACUAUUUGUGUUGGGCUGGGUAAAGAAGAUGUUGUCAAUAGCAAUGAGGGUUCAGCCCUCUCUUCCCCGUGUAAAAUAUUUUUAAGUGCAGAGCUGGCUGGCUGCCAGGCUGUAGUUGGGAAAACUGAAACAAAAAAACCUCUUCAGGAGCCACAAACUAGGCUCUCCCUGGUGUGAGUACAGUUUAUGCCAAAGAACAAAGUUUGUGGUCGGUGAGAUUGAAAGGUGCUUUGAAUGAAUCAGUUAAACUAGCAAAAAGCCCAGACUUCUGCGGUCACAACCUAAAGAAACAGCCUUUGGCCUCUGCCUUCCUAGCUGGUCCCAGGAGAAAUUUCCUACCUGUGCGCCUCUUAGGGAAUCUCACCCCAGGCUUGUGGCAGCCUCUGUCUGGAAAAAUCUAUUCUGGCAGAGCACAGAGCUAGCUCAGCUCCUCCCUUCUUUCCUAGACUCAGCAGAGGAGGACCCUGUUCGCUAUGGUGCCAACAACUGUGAGCAGCAGCCAAGGCAGGGGAGCCUGGGGGUGCGGAUCCUCUCCAGGAGAUCUAACAGAACUGCAAGUCUUCUCCACCAGCAGAUGGCGACUGAUAGACCACGCUAGAACAAGCCUUGCUUCAAGACCGAGGUCUGCGCAUGCUCCUUGAACACCAGGCUGCGGGCUGUUCCAGAUGACAGAAGGGAGGAGCCAAGCUGACAGGAUUGCUGUGUUCUCUGCAAGAAUCAGUUGCCCAAGAUGCAGCUGUCACCUGAUUAUAAAUCUCCUAACACCUGGGGAGCAAGGCACAGGCCAUGGAUGAAGAUUUUCCCGGGUGGGGACACAAACAGGCUGAGCCUCUCCUGUUCUCCCUGGUCUAUCAACCUCACAGGCAGGUAACUGGCUCCACAGCACAAACAGCUUUCAGCAGGGGGAGGUAAAGAGAUAAGGGCGUCUUUCUCAAUUUCUCUGUUUCAGUUUCUCUGUGGUACACAGUUUAGGACAACUGUGCCUGCUUAGCGGCUUGGUGCGCUGGGGCAAGACCUUCUGCAGCCAGCUGGCUCUGCAUUUUAAAAGUCUCCCAGGCACUUAAAUCAGCCAAUCCUGGUUUGGCAACCACCACCCACCCUCCAAAAAUCACAAGCACGCUGGGGUUGGGGUGGGGAACAGUAUAAAUGUGUCAUUCCUAAAAACAGAAAGUAAAUGUUCCCACAGAAGAGGAAAUGGAGAGUCUGUCAGCAGCCAGGAAAAGGAAACCUAAGGCAGAUCAUGGCUGAGCAGAUGUAGAAGAGCCUAGACAAUUCAGUCACUGCAGGGUGAGGGCUGCUGGAUCACUGGGGAAGGUACUGGUCUGGCUUCUGAGUACUUGGGACAGGGCUCCCUGAGGAUGACCUCGUGCUGGUCCUGAUUGGACCUGGAUUUCCAGAGGACUGGAGUUCAUCUGCAUCCUGUCGGCCACAGACAGGGAGUGGCUAAAAACACACAGACAAGCCCAGACACCACUGAGCUGCCUCCCUUCUAGCUGUGCUGGCCCUGGUCACCCUGACACCUUAAAACUGCCUGCAUUGAGCAAAGGGAAUUUCCCCUGCUGGCUCAGAAAUCUUGCAGAAACCUGGAGGCCCGGCUAAAGAGGAACUGGUGGCCAUUUACUGACAGAAAUCUGCCCCACCCAGAAGCAGCUGAUCUUGUUCUGAGACCAUAGCAGCGAGGAGCCUUUGAUCUCCAUCCUGGAUGAAUGUUAAUUCCAGAUAGAAGCCAUCCUUAGAUGGGAUGGGUGGUGGGUGUGUGGACGGCAGAUACAGAAAGGGGAUGACAGGAAGACCAACAGCAAUCCAGGCAGCAAAACCUUGUAGUUGUCUGUAUGAGUCAGGACUACACAUAACGGGGCAAUCACACUCCGGGAUGCGUCCAGACCUGGAGACAUGUGGAACCCUCUGGUCAGGUUAUGGCUAUCCCUGCUCACCAAGUCUGGCAACUCAACAUCCAGCAGUGCCCUUGCACUAGUUAAGAAAAAGCAACUGAAUUUGCAAAAGGGAGCUGCAAUGUUGGCUGAAUGUAAGCAGCAGCAGAAUCAAUCCCAUCACUGCCAAGACACAGUUGCUGAUGCAGGAUUCUGAACUUCAGAGGAAACAAAGUAAUUCUCCCUGUGGAGACAUUGAACCUGAGAUCAAAGAAGCUUUGAGGAGAGAAAGAGGCUGAGAGCAGAACUGCACCAGGCCAUUCAGAAAGGGUAUCUUGAAGAGAACUCCUGGAGUUUGGUUGUAAAGCAAGGCGUGGAACCAGAAAUAACCUGAGAACUUGCUGGUGUUGCAGUCUUCCAAGAGCUGCAAGAAAUAUCCGGGUACCCAGAGGUGGUAGUGAAACUACAGCACCUCGAACACAUGCACCCUGAUUGUAAUUGAUAGCUAUAAGCAUGGAAGAUUUGUCAUUCUUUAUAAAUAUGUUGUUUCAUUCA